rnacentral:lncRNA from 1 species
UCGCAUCAAGUAUCAUGAAUUUCCUUCUUUUUGUACUUCGCAUGUGAUGACUGGCUUGUGUGGGCGAGAGCUUCGCACUCCUGAAGCACCCAAAAUUCUUUUGGGGGAUGGGACUCUCCAUUUAUACAGCUGGAUAACUUGCACAAUUGAACAUUGCUCUUCUCUUUGCAGGCACAACGCGUCGAACCAAUCCCCACUUCACCACAUCACGGAUCUUGCACCAUGUCACCUUGGGCCUUGCAAUCCUAGAAUUAUGGACUCCAUAACCCGUGCGAGAUGGGCAGAUCCCAAAAUCUGCCCCGCUGCUCGACUCAAUGAUGAAAGUAUGCCCCGGUGUCCACAUUAAAUUGCCAGAGAUUGGAGAUGGAACUUCAAGAGACAAAUGGAUGUUCGGCGCAAACAGAUCUUGUGUGUAACCAGGAAGAUGACUGCUUUCACCAGCACUCAAACUGGACAAAAAGUCCUCCCUUGCCAAGCUGUUGAAUACAGUCAGAUCAAAGAUUUUCGCAGUGAUAUGACUGUGGCCCCAGACAACCUAAUUGUCUGAUCUCUGUGACAUUGCAGCAGCACGA